AUCACAACCAGAAGAAAGCGCUGGAGUUUUUCUCCAGAGAGGUGGCACCAGCAGGAACAGGCAUGGCUCCAGGGCUCACAGCUAUUGUGGGCGGACGACCAAGAAUAUCACCAGUGCUGAAACCUUUCUUUUUCUGCACCCCAAAGCAGAUCUGGAGGUGCACAUUCAUGUGAAUGGGGAGUUUGUGGAGACACACAGAGAGACAGGAUCAGAGCCUUCAUUAGCUG